rnacentral:rRNA from 1 species
UACGUAGGGGGCGAGCGUUGUCCGGAUUUACUGGGCGUAAAGGGCGCGUAGGCGGUGUGUUAAGUGUGAGGUGAAAUCUCCAGGGCUCAACCCGGAAACUGCUUCGCAUACUGGCACACUAGAGGGAUGCAGAGGUUGAUAGAAUUCCUGGUGUAGCGGUGGCAUGCGUUGAUAUCAGGAGGAAUACCAAUGGCGAAGGCAGUCAACUGGGCAUUUCCUGACGCUGAGGCGCGAAAGCGUGGGUAGCAAACAGA